UGCUACUCCCGUUGGUGCUUCGCUGCAUCUCGCGUCGUCGGAAGCGGAUUGAGAAGUGCGACGUGUGUCUACAACGCUUAGACCUUACUUCACCACCACGAGGCGAGCGCCGUUGCUCUUUUUUUUUGUUUUGUUUUUCUUCUUCCGGUAACGCUCUCUUUUCUCUUGCUGUGGCUCUUAUGCGUUUUGUGGUCGCCUCCUCUGUCUUCGUUGCACAGGGAAGUCGUCAUCACGCGCAAUUGUGCGCGGCAUCCGUAUCGGCAGGCACGCCGUACACUAAUGGGGUGUUAGGCGCCUUUCCCUUUUUUCUUCCCAUAUUCUGACCCUGGUUCGCGGAAAAGGGUGACGCUGUGCAGACGGCGGUCGUACUCGACGGUGGCUUUUGCCACCACGUGCGCUACCCCUCAGAGGAGGGGCAAAGAGAGCAUCAUGGUGCGCUAUAAUACGGCGGUAAUGGCCCUCCUGAAGCGGAUGGGCCCUCGCACAGAUCGUGGCCUCGGCCAACUUCCCGAUUCGCUUCUACGAGAUCUGACCCGCACGACCCACAGCAUGUUGGCACGGUUUUCUUUUUGCUGGGAAAGCGAAAAAACGCACAAAGCACGAGAAGCGCAGGCGGAAGAGAUCGUGGCGAGCAACGAUGUGACGCACCUGGACCGAAUCCCUGAAGCGCAUAGGGUAUCUCUGGCGGCACAAAUACCCUGCAUACUUCUCUUCCUGCAGCUCGCGCCACCGAGAGUGCACACAGGCUGCGCCUCCAUCCUGAGCCGGUUUGCGCUCUUUAGCAUUCCAGUGCGCGGUCGCUCACCACAAGUAAAUGCGCUCUUCACCGCCGUCAUUUUGCACCUGCUUCCGCGCCCAUACGCGACGGUGCCGACGAUUAACCUGAUUCUUUCGGUCAUCACGGUUGGCGCCACUCGAAUCGCUGACGAGGAGGCCGAAAAGUUGAUGAGGCGAAAGUUAGCGAGUCGUAUACCGAAGUGGGUUCUCGAACAAAACGCAGAGGUGGAGGCGUGCUUGGCAGGACUGCCGCGGUGGCUCCAGGCCCUUGUUCCCAAGGGCGCCACAUUAGACUUCGCGGAGAUCAUCGAUGAAAUUGCUCGGCGACUUCCACCAGCGGACGAAGGGCUGCCCGGUGACUAUGUUGACGUCCUUGCUGCCCGCACAGACAGAGAAGCUGCAAAGUAUGAGUAUGGCGUCGCGCUGAAAGUCAUGUACAACGAGUCCACGGCAAAUACGGUGACACCCGCGGAGUUAUCGAUGCUAGUUCCGAAGCUGCUUGAUUUCUCGGUGAAAUUCGACAGAAUGCGAGUUGCUGCUCAAAUGGCUCAGAAUGUGCAGCUGCUCGACUUUUCGCCACCAGUGAACCGCGAAACAGUGUACUCCGCCUACGCCUGUACGGCGCUGCGCGGUGCUCUGUCAAACCUGAGCCUGCUACGUCACACAGAGAAGAUCCUGGCUGUGCGAGAACUUUCCCCGUUCGAGUGGCUCUUCAUCAUCUCAAUCGUGACAGGCCGGGAAAAGGCAUGGGCGCCAACAGCUUACACGGCAAUGCGCGCCGCGUUGCGCAUUGCCGAGGAGCGACGCAGAGACGAAAUUAAAAGAAGCGGCAAGGCUGAGCGAGAUGUGUCACUGUUUGAAUACAUGGACACGAAAAGACGCCUCAUGUUGCUCGCGCAUUACUCCACCGGUUUGUGUGAGCUGCGCUUCAACCACGACCUCUUCAGCGCCGCGCUAGAGUGCACGGAGCCUCUAAUGCGAGAGUACCUCAGAGCACUUGAGGCAGACACGACCCCUUCGCUGCGAACUCUCGAUGCGAAGUAUCGCAUCCGACAAAUGCUUUCCGUCGUGACUCGUGCCGAUAACGUGAACGUAAGCCACGUCGGCGAGGAGUCGGAAGACGUAGCGGACGAAAACGACGUCACAGCCGAGUUGGCAGGGGCGGACGAGGCAAGGACCACCACAGGCAAGACCACGCAUUCCCUUUUGCGAGCGCUGGAGAAGUUCUUUACGGAGCCAUCGUCCGCCUGCUCCUCCGCAGCUGUCGCACCGGCCACGCCUGUCCCCGAGAAGCGCGGCAGCGGCUUCGCGAGGACAAAUUUGCCAGACCAACAAUGCGGUGCCGCAGUAGCGUUGGAGGGCCCUCAAUUUGAUGAGCUCAUCCUGCGUAUGCACGUUGUGGAGUGCGCGAUCGUGUACUGCCUACAGCUGCACGAGCAAAGAGCGAGCUGCCACGGUGCAUCAAGUGAGCUGGUGGAACUGUCGUUGCGCUCCGCACGUCGUAUGCAGCGCAUUGUCGGUGUGCAGCUGCAGAACGUUUCGUCCGUCAUCCGAAGCUCCCAGUGGAAGUCGCAGGCAGCAGGCGUAGCUGGAGGACUGUCGUCUGACACAACAACUGAAACGGUGAUCGUGGAUGGUGCCAUGGGAGAGUACAAGAGCCUUCAGCUGAGCUGGGUUACCAUGAAGUUGCUAUUGGCACUUACACAGCGAAAAGACAUGAGCGCGGCGGCACGCGCUGAUGUCGCCUGCAUCGCUGCAGCUUUCAUGUCAGACUUUGCCAUUUUCAUGGACUCAAUAGGUGACCACCGUGUGCUGCCGACCACUGUGAACCGCAACAUCGCCAUGCUUCAUCGCUGGUAUGUAGGCCACAAAAACAUGCUGAAAUCGAGCGCGGUAGCAGAAGACGCGCCGCCGUUCCGUGACGCAGAUGAGAGCGCGCGGAAGGUGGCUCUGUCCUGCUUGGGAGUUGCGCAGCGGAUACUUCCACCUCGUCAUCAUCAGCGGCGGCUCGCGGGCGUCGAAUCUGGACUCUCCUUCGGCUUUCACAGAAAGUUGGUCGUUGUGCGAGCCUUCGACUCCGCAUUGUCGUUCGCGCUCACAGCCAACAUGACGCUGGACGAAUUGCCGAACAUUUUUGACUUGAUGGAGAAGACGGUCGAUACGAUUCGUGAAGCUUCGCUAAUGGCGUUGCAGGAGUCGCCAUCCGACACGGAGCGCUACAAAGCUGAGAAAAAACUGCGCAGCUCGUUGCUUCCGAAGCUGAUGCACCUCCUGCACCACAUUUGCAUCCUAUCCAUCAACGACGAGUCGUGCCUUACUGUGGCGGCAGCCGCGCUGGAUGCGUGCGCUAGAGAGGACCAGAUCGCGUUCCUAUCGUGGAAAAAGCGUGAGUCCAUCUUGAGCACGACGUUGUACGUCUAUCGUGCCCUCGCCGAGCGUUUUGCGCACUCACGCGCAAGCCGUGAUGUGGCGCACCAGCUUUUGAUCAUGGUGAGCCGCUUGGCUUUGAGCCGUUUGGAGUACGAGGAUUCCGAGUUCACAGCGCAGAAAGAGAAGAGGCGGUUGUCCGAGAGUGAACUAGAGCUGCGACACCUCGUGUGCGCGGUACUUAUGUGGCAGAUUUCGUGCGCCGUCGCCUCGACUUUUCUGCAGAGUGCGCCCCUCGACAAGUAUCUGAGAGUCAUGCAUACGUAUGUCAAGCGGCACUUUGUGAUAUCCAUGAGCGCGCAAGCGAUGGAAGAGUCGAGCAUGGUUGGGACGGAGGCGGAGUUAGAGUACUGCGAGCAGGUGCUCGCGGAAUCGGGGCCGUCUGCACGCUCGCCGACCUACUGGGGGCCGACAACGACAAAGGAGGAGAUGAUUCUGCGGUGCAACCUUGCCAUAAGGGAAGUCUUCCUAGCGAUGAAGUUCCUGGCAACCGUUCUCUACAAGGAUUCGUCGGCUUCCGGUAGCCAAGCUUUCCGUAUGCGAUGGGUAAGUCAGAUGGAGCUGGCGUGUGGGCUGCUGAAGCAGUAUCAGCGGUGGAUUGCGCCGUCCGUUUGGUACUCUAUCUGGCGAGAGCUGGUUGCUAUUUCCGUUGUGAUGCGAAUAGGCCAUGUCAACUCGCUCCCGGUGCAAGAGACCACCGAGGUGACUGCGCAGCGUCUGCUAACCUUCUCCAAGAUCCGAGACAACAAGGGAGUGUGGAUCGAUCUUCGAGGCCCACACGCCGCUGCCUCGCAGGGGGAGGGCGGCGCAGAUGAGGGGACCUCUGCUGCGAAUAGGCACGCGAGAGGAAAGUCCGAGUUGAUUUCCUUUUCAGACGCUUCGCGAAUCUUCCAGGUGCAAGAUCGAUUGACAGACGUGAAUCUGCGUGUGUACCUUGCACAGUUGACAGAUCGACUGAGUCGAGAGCAGGAGCAGCACGCGCUCAGCCAGGCAGACAGCGGCGCAAACCUCGAAGGAGAGCGGCGUAUCAGACUUAACGGUCUUAGCGAAACAGAAGCAGAGAUUCAUGCGCGCCACCUGCGCGCCGCGCGCAUCAGCAUCCUCUUUACCUGCCGGCGCAUGCGGUCGUAGCACGUCGUUACAGCGCCCGCGCAGCAGGCGUCGCUCAGCUCGAAAAUAGAAAGGAGGCGUUUGUUGUGUCGGUGGAAUAUCUGCUUGCCAUUCCGUGAUGCGUGCGUGAGUGUGUUGCCAGAUUCUUUGCUAGAAGCCCAAGGCGGCUGACGUACAAGUAAAAGAGCUUCGCAUCCUUGGAGGUGUGUUUGAUUCUACGCGGUCGGGUGUGGCUCUUGAGCGCGCCUCAAUCGCCGUUCCGUGUGAACGCGGCAUCGCCACACGACGCUGAGUGCUCCUCUGUCAGCUGCCACGUGGCACACAAUCGCUCAUAGCACACCCCACCCACCCGACUCCUCGCCUUCUUGCUUAUCUCCGCCAACGGGAUUUGGGGAAAGAGUGUGUGUGUGUGAUGUGCGAAUGCGAAUGAUUCUCCUCCCUCUCUCUUUUUGUCUUUUUUUUUGUUCGCCUGCGGUCCCUCCCACACGCACGCGCUCUUUCUUCUGCGUGCCGGUCGCGUGACUUGCACCCCUUGCCCUUGUCAACACCUUCGCUCCACUGACUGCCCUCUCCCGCUCUCGCGUGUCUCUGAG
rnacentral:misc_RNA from 1 species